AAGCUCUCACAUAGGAAGGAAGGAAGGAAGGAAGGAAAAACAUAACCAGCAACCGACGAACGAAUGGAUGUGUUGGGGAACCGCGAGAUGAGCUAUGGGUCGUUGAUGUGGAGUUCGACGACCAAGCCUUUUUGGUCCCAGCGAAGACCGCCGCUGACGAGCUGGCGUCGGCCUUCGUCGUUCGUUGCGCCGCCGCCACCUGCCACCUCGUCGGUCGUCACUGCCAGCAUCCUGCCGGCCGCCCCCGUGGUAGGCACGACGGAGCUCAGCUGCAGGACGACGCCAACCAGUACGAAGAGCAGCACGGUGUUUCGAGACACGGAGGCCAUCGAUGACCGAUCGCCUCGCCGCUGGUGGAUCGAGGAGCUUGCUGCUUUGAGCUCAGGGGGCCGGCUACCGUGUCUGCUGCUGC
rnacentral:lncRNA from 1 species